rnacentral:rRNA from 1 species
GUGCCAGCAGCCGCGGUAAUACGUAGGGGGCGAGCGUUGUCCGGAAUUAUUGGGCGUAAAGGGUACGUAGGCGGUUUAGAAAGUCAGAUGUUAAAGCGUGAGGCUCAACCUCAUAAAGCAUUUGAAACUUCUAGACUUGAGUAGUGGAGAGGAAAGUGGAAUUCCUAGUGUAGCGGUGAAAUGCGUAGAUAUUAGGAAGAAUACCAGUGGCGAAGGCGACUUUCUGGACACAAACUGACGCUGAGGUACGAAAGCGUGGGGAGCAAACAGGAUUAGAUACCCUGGUAGUCCACGCUGUAAACGAUGAAUGUUAGGUGUCGGGUGUCAAAGCUCGGUGCCGCAGUUAACGCAUUAAACAUUCCGCCUGGGGAGUACGAUGGCAACAUUGAA